AUACCUUUAUCGGCCUUUUGGUUAAUAUCAAGUGUAGUAUCUGUUAUUAUCAGUUUAAUAUCUGAUACGUGAACCAACGGUAUAUAUGAUAUUAAAUUAAUUUUUUUAGGAUGAGGGCUCACUACAGUAGCUUGCUACUGGGGUUCUUGCGUGUCGCCCAAGCGUUGCACUAUUGCUCGGUCCUGGCACAACCCAC